rnacentral:tRNA from 1 species
CAGGGAGAACCAACUUCAAAUGAUGAUCACUAUUUUUAUGUGUUCCAUUUGACUGUUCAACCCUAUGGUCGAUCGGUACCUCAAUGAUUGAGAUGUAAAUCUCUUUCAUCUCGGUUCUUAAGCUUGUCUAGGUCACUAUCCCAUGGCUGUUAAGCUAUGGAGGAUGGGCCCGAGAGGGUUCCUGGGCCAUUAGCUCAGGUGGUUAGAGCGCACCCCUGAUAAGGGUGAGGUCCCUGGUUCAAGUCCAGGAUGGCCCAUCGGGAUUGGGGGUUUAGCUCAGCUGGUAGAGCGCCUGCUUUGCAAGCAGGAUGUCAGCGGUUCGAGUCCGCUAACCUCCAUCAAUUCUGAUGAAGGAAACAGCACGGCGCCUCGUUGAUCUAGAUACACGGGUUUUGGUGAAUCCAGCCUCGUUUGAUUCUUGAAAGAGCUCAAACGAUGCUGGACUCAGCAAUGGGUUCGGCAAGAACCUUGACAACUGCAUAGGUUAGUCUGGAAAUAAGCAUCUCACAGAGAUGAUCCAGCAUUUUAUUGGCAACUUAUGUUGUUGAUAUGGCUGUUUCAUUAAUUCUGUGGAAGCCGAGAUCUGGUUGUUUCGACAAUCAGAUAUUGAAAAUG